UGAGAGAGCCGGGUGUUGUGGAAGACUGCGCUCUCCCUCUCGGGAGCGCAGACCCACCAAACAUGGCUUCGAGCAGAAGGAAACAGGAUGAGAAGAACCUGAAAACCUUGCGAGAAUUGGGUUCCCUGGCUGCUAAUAGGACAUGCUUCGACUGCCACCAGAGAGGGACGACCUACAUCAACAUGACUGUGGGCUCCUUCGUCUGUACCUCCUGCUCCGGCAGCCUCCGUGGGUUAAACCCUCCUCAUCGUGUCAAGUCCAUCUCCAUGGCCAGUUUCACACAGGAGGAAAUUGAACAAAUAAAAUCAAAGGGGAACCAGUAUUGUGGAGCUGUUUGGCUGGGUCUUUAUGAUGCUAAGAUCAGUCCUUUUCCUGACACCAAAGACGAACAUAAAAUUAGAGAUUUCAUGAUUUUGAAAUACGAAAAGAAAAGGUUUUAUAUAGAGCCCAGUAUUGCUCUGAAGAAUAUGCCUCCACAAAACUCGAGUGCCACGUCGUCAAAUGCCUCUACGCCAAAUAGUGAAACUAGUAAGGCUGGGCUAACAGCUAGCUCAUCAGUGUCACGUCCAAAUGUUACAGCCUCACAGUCGUCAGGGUCAGUAAGUGGAGGGCUAAACAACAACACCAGUACAGGAUCAAAAACAUCCACUCCAAAAUCUUCGACUUCGUUAGAUUUAUUAGCUGAAUUAGGAAGCCAACCUGGUCCCAAGGUCAACUCUAAUGACCCCUUUGCCUCUCCAACAAGUUCCCAAGCACCCACAUCAAUUUCACAGCCUUCAUUUGCCAAUUUUGAGAAUGCGAACAUUUUUUCCAACACUCCUGGCACCACAUCCAGCAACAAAUCAACCCCCUUGGGUCCACAUCUCCCAUUCUCCAGUAACCCCCUUACCCCAAUGGCCCCUGGCUCCUCUUCCAAUCCUUCUUCCUCAACUGUUCCCAACACCCAAUCCUCUUCAACCCCACCUACGCAAGAUCGCUAUGCAGCGUUGAAGGACUUGGAUGAGGAAUUCAAGACGCAGAAAGAAUCUGAAACUGUAUCUUCAAAUGGAGGAGGUAGUUGGCCCAUACCUAAUGGAAGUCAUCAGGGUUCUUCAAUGUUUGGUUCCUCAUCCUCUGCAAUGAAUGGGACUGUUUUUGGUUCCCCUGGCACCUCCAAUACCGUCUUUGGUGCUGUUAAUGGAGGUGGAUCUGGAGGCAUUGGAGGAGGGGUGUUUGGCACACCUCCAAAUGCUGGCAAUGCCUGGGCUAAUUUUUCUGGUGCUAAUCCAUUUUCAGUGUCACCAGUGUUGACGUCCUCACCUGACUGAAGGAGGCAAGGAGAAUCUCUGUUUAGACUACUCUGUACCUGCUUGUCAGAUGUAUUACUGGACACUUGCUGAUCAGAUGUAGGAGCCCGGAUGUAAUAACGGGUCUGCCUGGAUGAAUGGAAGUUCUAUGGGGUCCACGACACACACUCAGCAGGGAUUUGGUUCUGUCGUCCAACCCAACCCCUUUGGAACAA
rnacentral:misc_RNA from 1 species